rnacentral:rRNA from 1 species
GACGAACGCUGGCGGCGUGCUUAACACAUGCAAGUCGAACGGAAAGGCCCUGCUUGCAGGGUGCUCGAGUGGCGAACGGGUGAGUAACACGUGGGUGAUCUGCCCCUUACUUUGGGAUAAGCCUGGGAAACUGGGUCUAAUACUGGAUAGGACCAUGCUGUAGGUGGUGUGGUGGAAAGAUUAGUUUCGGUAAGGGAUGAGCUCGCGGCCUAUCAGCUUGUUGGUGGGGUAAUGGCCUACCAAGGCGUCGACGGGUAGCCGGCCUGAGAGGGUGGACGGCACAUUGGGACUGGGAUACGGGCCAGACGCCUGCGGGAGGGAGGCAGGGGGGAUAAUUGCACAAGGGGGGCAGGCCGGUGCAACGACGGCGGGUGGGGGAUGACGGCCUUCGGGUUGUAAACUCCUUUCAGCCAUGACGAAGCCCUUGUGGUGACGGUAGUGGUAGAAGAAGCACCGGCUAACUACGUG